UACACACGUGCUACAAUGGUCGGUACAAAGGGUUGCCAAGCCGCGAGGUGGAGCUAAUCCCAUAAAACCGAUCGUAGUCCGGAUCGCAGUCUGCAACUCGACUGCGUGAAGUCGGAAUCGCUAGUAAUCGUGAAUCAGAAUGUCACGGUGAAUACGUUCCCGGGCCUUGUACACACCGCCCGUCACACCAUGGGAGUGGGUUGCUCCAGAAGUAGCUAGUCUAACCGCAAGGGGGACGGUUACCACGGAGUGAUUCAUGACUGGGGUGAAGUCGUAACAAGGUAGCCGUAGGGGAACCUGCGGUUGGAUCACCUCCA
rnacentral:rRNA from 1 species